rnacentral:rRNA from 1 species
CCUACGGGGGGCAGCAGUGAGGAAUAUUGGUCAAUGGACGAGAGUCUGAACCAGCCAAGUAGCGUGAAGGAUGACUGCCCUAUGGGUUGUAAACUUCUUUUAUAAGGGAAUAAACCGCGGCACGUGUGCCUUUUUGCAUGUACUUUAUGAAUAAGGAUCGGCUAACUCCGUGCCAGCAGCCGCGGUAAUCCGGAGGAUCCGAGCGUUAUCCGGAUUUAUUGGGUUUAAAGGGCGCGUAGCCGGGGGGUUAAGUCAGGGGUGGAAGUGGGCGGCUCACCCGUAAAAUGGCAGUUGAUACUGGGAGGCUGGAGUGGAGUUGAGGGAAGCGGGAGUCGUGGUGGAGCGGUGAAAUGCUGAG